rnacentral:rRNA from 1 species
GCUCAGAUUGAACGCUGGCGGCAGGCCUAACACAUGCAAGUCGAGCGGUAACAUUUCUAGCUUGCUAGAAGAUGACGAGCGGCGGACGGGUGAGUAAUGCUUGGGAACAUGCCUUGAGGUGGGGGACAACAGUUGGAAACGACUGCUAAUACCGCAUAAUGUCUACGGACCAAAGGGGGCUUCGGCUCUCGCCUUUAGAUUGGCCCAAGUGGGAUUAGCUAGUUGGUGAGGUAAUGGCUCACCAAGGCGACGAUCCCUAGCUGGUUUGAGAGGAUGAUCAGCCACACUGGGACUGAGACACGGCCCAGACUCCUACGGGAGGCAGCAGUGGGGAAUAUUGCACAAUGGGCGCAAGCCUGAUGCAGCCAUGCCGCGUGUGUGAAGAAGGCCUUCGGGUUGUAAAGCACUUUCAGUCAGGAGGAAAGGUUAGUAGUUAAUACCUGCUAGCUGUGACGUUACUGACAGAAGAAGCACCGGCUAACUCCGUGCCAGCAGCCGCGGUAAUACGGAGGGUGCGAGCGUUAAUCGGAAUUACUGGGCGUAAAGCGUACGCAGGCGGUUUGUUAAGCGAGAUGUGAAAGCCCCGGGCUCAACCUGGGAACUGCAUUUCGAACUGGCAAACUAGAGUGUGAUAGAGGGUGGUAGAAUUUC